rnacentral:rRNA from 1 species
AACGAACGCUGGCGGCAUACUUAACACAUGCAAGUCGAACGAACCCUUCGGGUUAGUGGCGCACGGGUGCGUAACGCGUGGGAAUCUGCCCUUUGCUACGGAAUAACAGUGAGAAAUUACUGCUAAUACCGUAUGAUGUCGUAAGACCAAAGAUUUAUCGGCAAAGGAUGAGCCCGCGUAGGAUUAGCUUGUUGGUGAGGUAAAAGCUCACCAAGGCGACGAUCCUUAGCUGGUCNGAGAGGAUGAUCAGCCACACUGGGACUGAGACACGGCCCAGACUCCUACGGGAGGCAGCAGUGGGGAAUAUUGGACAAUGGGCGAAAGCCUGAUCCAGCAAUGCCGCGUGAGUGAUGAAGGCCUUAGGGUUGUAAAGCUCUUUUACCCGGG